rnacentral:rRNA from 1 species
AUUGAACGCUGGCGGCAUGCCUUACACAUGCAAGUCGAACGGCAGCACGGGAGCAAUCCUGGUGGCGAGUGGCGAACGGGUGAGUAAUAUAUCGGAACGUGCCCAGUCGUGGGGGAUAACGUAGCGAAAGCUACGCUAAUACCGCAUACGAUCCAUGGAUGAAAGCGGGGGAUCGCAAGACCUAGCGCGAUUGGAGCGGCCGAUAUCAGAUUAGGUAGUUGGUGAGGUAAAGGCUCACCAAGCCGACGAUCUGUAGCUGGUCUGAGAGGACGACCAGCCACACUGGGACUGAGACACGGCCCAGACUCCUACGGGAGGCAGUAGUGGGGAAUUUUGGACAAUGGGCGCAAGCCUGAUCCAGCAAUGCCGCGUGCAGGAUGAAGGCCUUCGGGUUGUAAACUGCUUUUGUACGGAGCGAAAAGGCUUCCACUAAUACUGGGGGCUCAUGACGGUACCGUAAGAAUAAGCACCGGCUAACUACGUGCCAGCAGCCGCCGUAAAAC